AUUGAACGCUAGCGGGAUGCCUUACACAUGCAAGUCGAACGGAGUGGCGAACGGGUGAGUAAUGUAUCGGAAUGUGCCCAGUAGCGGGGGAUAACUACGCGAAAGCGUAGCUAAUACCGCAUACUAUUGGAGCGGCAGAUAUCGGAUUAGCGAGGUGGUGGGGUAAGGGCACCCCAAGGCGAAGAUCCGUAGCUGGUGUGAGAGGACGAGCAGCCACACUGGGACUGAGACACGGCCCAGACUCCUACGGGAGGCAGCAGUGGGGAAUUUUGGACAAUGGGGGAAACCCUGAUCCAGCCAUCCCGCGUGUGCGAUGAAGGCCUUCGGGUUGGAAAGCACUUUUGGCAGGAAAGCGGUACCUGCAGAAUAAGCACCGGCUAACUACGUGCCAGCCGCCGCGGUAAUAC
rnacentral:rRNA from 1 species